UUUGACCUCAAAUCAGGUAGGACUACCCGCUGAACUUAAGCAUAUCAAUAAGCGGAGGAAAAGAAACCAACAGGGAUUGCCUCAGUAACGGCGAGUGAAGCGGCAAAAGCUCAAAUUUGAAAUCUAGCACCUUCGGUGUUUGAGUUGUAAUUUGAAGAUGGUAACCUU
rnacentral:rRNA from 1 species